rnacentral:lncRNA from 1 species
UUUUUUGGUGGGCUCUUUGGCCUAUUUUUUUAUUUUGGUGGGCUUCUUUGGCCUAUUUUAUUUCCUCACAUGGGACAAUACUCUAGUAAUGAUGAUCAUCACACUUUCAACUCAAAACUUAGAGCAACUAUGACUCUAUAUGAAAUGCCUUUGGUAGUGUACCGUGGCAAUGAUCUAGCAUGGCAUAGACAUCAAUGGAAACAUCAUGCUAGCUAUCUUACGAUCAUGCAAUGGCAAUGUAGACGUGGUGGCACAUGUCAUGGUGGUAGUUGCAUGGAAAUAUAUCUCGGAAUGAUUUUCAAAAAGCCAUAAUAGG